AGCAGCCGCGGUAAUUCCAGCUCCAAUAGCGUAUAUUAAAGUUGUUGCAGUUAAAAAGCUCGUAGUUGAAUUUCGGGAUUGGCGCAUCGGUCGUGCCUCACGGGGUAUGAACUGGUGCAGUCAAUUUCUCACCUUCUGGAGAACCGCGAUGUCCUUAAUUGGAUGCCGCGGGGAACCAGGACCUUUACUUUGAAAAAUUAGAGUGUUUAAAGCAGGCAUUUUUGCUUGAAUACAUUAGCAUGGAAUAAUAAAAUAGGACGGCAUGGUUCUAUUUUGUUGGUUUCUAGGACCACCGUAAUGAUUAAUAGGGAUAGUUGGGGGCAUUAGUAUUCAAUUGUCAGAGGUGAAAUUCUUGGAUUUAUUGAAGACUAACUACUGCGAAAGCAUUUGCCAAGGAUGUUUUCAUUAAUCAAGAACGAAAGUUAGGGGAUCGAAGACGAUCAGAUACCGUCGUAGUCUUAACCAUAAACUAUGCCGACUAGGAAUCAGACGAUGUUAAUUUUUAAUGACUCGUUGCACC
rnacentral:misc_RNA from 1 species